AGUUUUGUAGUUGAAUUACAACAAUGAUUUUUCAUGCCAUAGGCUAUGGUUAGAGUCCAUACUAAACUA
rfam:Sarcophilus harrisii ctg7180001388866, whole genome shotgun sequence.